rnacentral:tRNA from 1 species
AGCCAGUGUGGUGCAGUGGUUGUAGUGCUGGACUAUAACUCUGGAGUCCAGGGUUCAAUUCCUGGCUUGGCUA